ACGAACGCUGGCGGCAGGCCUAACACAUGCAAGUCGAGCGCCCUUUCGGGGGAGCGGCGGACGGGUGAGUAACGCGUGGGAAUAUGCCCUUCUCUACGGAAUAGCCUCGGGAAGCUGAGAGUAAUACCGUAUACGCCCUUUGGGGGAAAGAUUUAUCGGGGAAGGAUUAGCCCGCGUUGGAUUAGGUAGUUGGUGGGGUAAUGGCCUACCAAGCCGACGAUCCAUAGCUGGUUUGAGAGGAUGAUCAGCCACACUGGGACUGAGACACGGCCCAGACUCCUACGGGAGGCAGCAGUGGGGAAUCUUAGACAAUGGGGGCAACCCUGAUCUAGCCAUGCCGCGUGAGUGAUGAAGGCCUUAGGGUUGUAAAGCUCUUUCAGCUGGGAAGAUAAUGACGGUACCAGCAGAAGAAGCCCCGGCUAACUCCGUG
rnacentral:rRNA from 1 species